rnacentral:lncRNA from 1 species
AAAAAUAGUGCCGUGUGCAAACGUGCUUUGUGCCAGGGGCUCUAACAAAGCCUAAGCUAUGUUUUAAAUGUAUUGUAAGUGGCUUGGACUGCAGAGGAAUAAAUUAAGAUGACUGUAAGGGGGAUGUGAGUCCAGCCACAUUCCCACCUCUCCUGCCCUUAUGCUGUGUCUGUUGCAAGUCAUUAGUCCACUGAGGAUGUAUUUUUACCUCUCAGAACUGUUCACAAGCUAUUACAGUAUUUGCAGUAAUGAAGGACAAUACAGGAUACUUCCCCUCCCUCUGAGUAUGGAAAUGUG